UGGUUAUUGAGAAAUGGCUGUGCUUUCAAAAUGCAGCACAUACAGAAUACAGCAUAGUGCUGUCUGGGUUGUGGUGAAGUUAUAGAGUCAUUAACCCUCAGUUCUGCUAGGUUGUACUGCUGUUAUGGUGGAACUUUGAAGAAGAGAAGCAGAUGUGUGCACUCUGCUGCAGGCAGACGUCCUAUCUGGGACUAUUUGCAUCACAUGGAGGAUUUGCUUUUAUUAAAACCUGUCUUUGGGGAAAAUAAUGAAUGGCAGAGUCUCUUGAGAUAUGCUGCAAUGUAUGCCUAAAAGCUGGAAUCUUCUACCAUAUCUUUGUCAAGGGUAAGAUAGAGAUAAGUUAUUUUUUUGAAAGUGGCAGUCAAAAAAUUAGGAGG
rnacentral:lncRNA from 1 species